UUAGUGAAUACCUCGCACCGCAAGUAUUGAAUAACUGCCUGCUUUCUAGUCGAAUUGUUUUAAUUGUCAUAAUUAUCACCCUACAGAAGUCAUGCUUGCUCUUGCUCUUGCUCUUGCUCUUUCUAACUUGAUAUCGCUUUUUUAUUUUUCUGAUUGUUUCAGCAAAAGAAGGCGAUCGAGGUGGCAUGAAGAUGGCAUCCGGUUUGCAAAUUUGUCUCCAAAAUCGACAUCAAUGGAGUUAUUAUACUCACA